rnacentral:rRNA from 1 species
GAGUAAUGUCUGGGAAACUGCCUGAUGGAGGGGGAUAACUACUGGAAACGGUAGCUAAUACCGCAUAACGUCGCAAGACCAAAGAGGGGGACCUUCGGGCCUCUUGCCAUCGGAUGUGCCCAGAUGGGAUUAGCUAGUAGGUGGGGUAAAGGCUCACCUAGGCGACGAUCCCUAGCUGGUCUGAGAGGAUGACCAGCCACACUGGAACUGAGACACGGUCCAGACUCCUACGGGAGGCAGCAGUGGGGAAUAUUGCACAAUGGGCGCAAGCCUGAUGCAGCCAUGCCGCGUGUAUGAAGAAGGCCUUCGGGUUGUAAAGUACUUUCAGCGGGGAGGAAGGGAGUAAAGUUAAUACCUUUGCUCAUUGACGUUACCCGCAGAAGAAGCACCGGCUAACUCCGUGCCAGCAGCCGCGGUAAUACGGAGGGUGCAAGCGUUAAUCGGAAUUACUGGGCGUAAAGCGCACGCAGGCGGUUUGUUAAGUCAGA